GACGAACACUGGCGGCGUGCUUAACACAUGCAAGUCGAACGGAAAGGCCCUGCUUUUGUGGGGUGCUCGAGUGGCGAACGGGUGAGUAACACGUGAGUAACCUGCCCUUGACUUUGGGAUAACUUCAGGAAACUGGGGCUAAUACCGGAUAGGAGCUCCUGCUGCAUGGUGGGGGUUGGAAAGUUUCGGCGGUUGGGGACGGACUCGCGGCUUAUCAGCUUGUUGGUGGGGUAGUGGCUUACCAAGGCUUUGACGGGUAGCCGGCCUGAGAGGGUGACCGGCCACAUUGGGACUGAGAUACGGCCCAGACUCCUACGGGAGGCAGCAGUGGGGAAUAUUGCACAAUGGGCGGAAGCCUGAUGCAGCAACGCCGCGUGCUGGAUGACGGCCUUCGGGUUGUAAACCGCUUUCGCCUGUGACGAAGCGUGAGUGACGGUAAUGGGUAAAGAAGCACCGGCUAACUACGUG
rnacentral:rRNA from 1 species